rnacentral:rRNA from 1 species
GGGGGGGGGGGGGGGGGGGGGGGGGGGGGGCGGGGGGGGGGGGCGGACGAGAAGCUGGCUUCUCUGAUGUUAGCGGCGGACGGUGGGGUAACGCGUGGGUAACCUACCUCUAAGACUGGGCUAACUUCGGGAAACCGGAGCUGAUACCGGCUAAUAUUUUGCACCGCAUUGUUCCAAAGUGACAGACGGUCUUGCUGUCACUUAUAGAUUGAUCCGCGCUGCAUUAGCUAGUUGGUAAGGUAACGGCUUACCAAGGCAACGAUGCAUAGCCGACCUGAGAGGGUGAUCGGCCACACUGGAACUGAGACACGGUCCAGACUCCUACGGGAGGCAGCAGUAGGGAAUCUUCCGCAAUGGGCGAAAGCCUGACGGAGCAACGCCGCGUGAGUGAUGAAGGUCUUCGGAUCGUAAAACUCUGUUAUUAGGGAAGAACAUAUGUGUAAGUAACUGUGCACAUCUUGACGGUACCUAAUCAGAAAGCCACGGCUAACUACGUG